rnacentral:rRNA from 1 species
CUACGGGAGGCAGCAGCAAGGAAUUUUCCCCAAUGGGCGCAAGCCUGAGGGAGCAACGCCGCGUGGGGGAUGACGCAUUUCGGUGUGUAAACCCCUUUUCCGAGGGACGAAACAAAUGACGGUACCUUGGGAAGAAGGCCCGGCUAACUACGUGCCAGCAGCCGCGGUAAUACGUAGGGGCCAAGCGUUGUCCGGAGUUACUAGGCGUAAAGGGUGCGCAGGCGGUUGGUUACGUCGUGUGUGAAAGCCCCCGGCUUAACCGGGGAGGGUCGCGCGAAACGGGCUAACUGGAGGCAAGGCGAGGUCGGUGGAAUUCCCGGUGUAGUGGUGAAAUGCGUAGAGAUCGGGAGGAACACCAGAGGCGAAGGCGGCCGACUGGACUUGACCUGACGCUGAGGCACGAAGGCGUGGGGAGCGAACGGGAUUAGAAACCCGAGUAGUCC